UACGGAGGGUGCAAACGUUGCUCGGAAUCAUUGGGCGUAAAGCGCACGUAGGCGGCCCGCUAAGUCGGAUGUGAAAGCCCAAGGCUCAACCUUGGAAGUGCAUUCGAAACUGACGAGCUUGAAUAUGGACGAGGGUCGCGGAAUUCCCGGUGUAGAGGUGAAAUUCGUAGAUAUCGGGAGGAACACCAGUGGCGAAGGCGGCGACCUGGGCCAAUAUUGACGCUAAGGUGCGAAAGCGUGGGGAGCAAACAGG
rnacentral:rRNA from 1 species